UAAUAUUAUUAGUAUUAGUAUUAGUAUUAUCCAACGUUUACAUUAGGAUUCACUUUUCUAUGGGUUUUACCAAAUGCAUUAGACUAUCACACAGAAUAGCUGUCCUGUCCUGAAAGUCCCCUAUGCCCCACCUAUUCAUCCCUCCCUUCACUUUCCCCCAGCCCCCAGCAACUCCUGGUCUUUUCAAGGUCUCCAUGGUUUUGCUUCUUCUAGAAUGUUACACAUCAUGUAGCCUUUCGGACUAAUUUCUCUCCCUUAGCAACAGGCAUUGAUGGUUCCUCAGUGUCUUUUCUGUGCUUUCCUGAUGUGAUAGCUCAUUUCUUUUUAUCACUAAAUAAUAUUUCAUUGUCUGGAUAUACCACACAGUUUACUGAUCUAUCCACCUACUGAAGAAUUGGUUGUUUACAAUUUUGGGCAAUUAUAAAUAACACUGCUAUAAAUAUCCACGUGCAGGUUUUUGUGUGGACAUCAGUUUUCAACUCCUUUGCAUAAAUACCAAGAACUGUGACUACUGGAUCAUAUGGCAAGGUCUUUUGGGUUGAGUAUCAAUGAAUCAUUUCCUUCAUAUUCAGAUGAAAGAUAUGCCUGGGUAACUCAGGUUCCCACCCUGCUUUAUCUUAACGAUCCAUACAUUGCAGAACUUCAAUGAUACUAGGAGACAUGAAAUCUGUUAAAACCCUUAAUAUUGUCCCUGGUACACAGAGGCACACAAGAAAUACUUGUGGAAUAAACACUAGCUACUAAAGAUACUUGAUGCUGAGUUCUGAAGUCUAUUAGGCACAAAUUAUCAACUUCUCCACUGACUGUUUCUCCUCCAUGAUUCUCCAGGACUGAACUUUCCCACAAAGGAAAGGGUCUUUAGGGCAAGAGAUUGCAAAAGGCAGCAAAUCAAUGGGAGAAUUCCUGCAAAACUUUCUGUGAGGGGACAGAAUGAAACAUCUUUUAUUCCAAGAUAUUUUCAAGUCCAUCCCGAUAGCAGUGUGGAACAACUCAGAAACAGUCAAAAUGUCUGGAUUCAGUUCCUUGCUCUAUUGUUUAUCAAUGUGCGGCCUUAUGUUAUUGGCCAAACUGAUUUGAGCCCAAGUUUGUUUUGUUUUGUUUUGUGUUUUAGAGAGAGAGAGAGAGCGCACACACAAACAAGUGGCGGGGGGUGGCAGAGGGACAGAGAGAAUCUUUGGCAGGCUCCAUACCAAGCAUGGAGCCCCAUGCAGGGCUCAAUCUCAUGACCCUCAGAUCAUGACCUGAGCAGAAAUCAAGAGUUGGAGGCUUAACCAGCUGAGCCACCCAGGCACCCCCAAGCCCAAGUUUUUUAAACUGCACAAUGAACAUAAAUGUAGUGCCUGCUUUACCAACAUGAAGUGGUAAAGCUUUGUGAACAAUGCCUGCGUGUGUGUGCCCACAAGGGGAGAGGAAGAGGUUAGUCUUCCAUGGAGUGCCCUGGUGCACAUGAUACACCGGAUGCAUGGCAGAUGGCACCGUAGUCUAAUAUGCUAACUGCCAACGAAGUUCACCUGAGCCACACUGAGUGGAUGUCUGUUCUCCCACCCAUGUAGGUCCCUCUGUACUCACACCCCAGCCUCACUCCUGUAGCCAUGUGCAAGUUCAUGCUCCUGACACUUGUGCUCUGGAGCCCAUCCCUUCUCACCCAACACAUUCCUCUGGCAAUUGUCCACCCACUCCUGCAUCAUUGAGUUGUUGUUCCCUAGUAGAUCAUGCCUAGCACACAAAUGUGCUGUAAUAACUUCUUCCAUUAUAAAUUUUUUUUUAAUUCUCCUUGUGCCACAUCCUCCUCUAGCUACCAUUCCAUUUCUCUUCCUUUUAAGAGUAAAACUCCUCAGAGUAGUCUGCCUCCUGUCCAGCUUCUUCCACUCCCUCUGGAAUCCAUUUCAAAUAGCUCUCAUCCUCAUUACUUUAUUGAAAUUGUUAGUGUGAAGUCACCAGUGAUCUCCAUGGUGCUACACACAAAGGUCAGUUCUCAGCCUCCCCUCACUCACCCUGUCCAACACUGGACACACUUGCUUAUUCUCACUUCUUAAAACACUUGGUUCACUUGACUUAUGGGACUUUGUUCUGCUCAGAAUCCUAGAAUGGGAAUACCUCUCACAUGGAAUAAAAAACAAAGCUUUAGAAUGGCUCAAAAGGCCCUCUUUGACUACUCUUCUGUGAAGGUUCUUCCAGAUAACCAAAUAAUUCAUUUCCUGAAUUCCAUCAGCUCAAAUACCAGUUUCAGUCUGCAAGUCUUUCCCUGACCCCCUAGGUAAAAUAACUGCCUCCCUAACUUAUCUCCCUUAUUUGAAGCUUAAUAUUACAAUCUACAUUAUACAAGUAUAGGUUUACUUAUUUUAUAUAAACUUGUUUUGUUCAUGGCCCUAUCCCCAGCACCUACAGCAGUGUCUGCACAUAGUAGGAAUUCAGAUACUUAAGAAGUGCUCCAGUGAAGAAAUCCUAAGCCCUGGAAACUGAGCAGAGGCUGUACACAUAGCCAGCCUUCAAUGUUUAGUUCAGAAAGGAGAAGUCAGAAUAGAAGUGGACAGUGCUAGGGAUGUUCUGUGCUAUUUAUGUUGGAUCAGGUAAAUUUCUCCCCGUGAGAGUAUGAAGUGGGAUAAAAGCGACAUGAUGCCUUUGAAAAGAUUCUACAGUACCAAAGAAAAUGCUGAUGUCCUGUUUGGUAUCCUAAACAGAAGCAUAUGAAGAUAUGAUCUCUAUAAAAUAAGAGGAAGGAAAUUCAAGAACGAAUUGACAAACAUGAAACGACAAGAGAGUACGAAGCCACUGGUAUAAGAAAAAAAUGCAAGGAAACUCAAAAUCAGAAUUUAAAUGUUCCUUUGACACAGAAUCAUAAUAAGUAUUCAGAAAAUUAAUUGUUGCAUCGUUGGAUCAUUUGAGGUUCCCUUCCAAAAUGCAGAACAAAAGUGGAAAAAAUGCAUUAAAAAGAUAAAAAUUAUUAACAAGGUUAUUAUCUUCAGUGAUUUCUGUUGUUGUUCCUAUAUACUUUUUUCUAUUUCUAAAUUUUUCACAAUGUAUGUGUAGAAUCAUAAUAAUCAGGAGGAAAGGGAAAGGAAAAAAUUAAAUAUGUAUCUUAACACUAUUUGUUUAUAGCCUUUUUUUUUUUUUGGAAAGGACAGGAAAUUCUUUUCUAGCUCACUGGGCCCCUGCAGCCUACUAAUGCUAUUCUUUCCGUCUAGCAUCCAAUGACAUAAUCUAGAAAUUCCCCUAACACUUAUUUUGUUGGAUAUCACUGUAGGAUUUGGCUUUUUUAAUAUGACUAGAUCUCAGAAGGAUUCCGAUACUUUGGAUGCAAUUGGGAGUAUUGAGAAACAAACACGAAACAAAGGGUAUUGUUUUCUUCACUUUCCUCAACUUUUUAAAAAAGAUUUAUUUAAUUACUUUAGAGACAGAGAGAGAUUUGAGAGAACAAAAGAGAGACAGCAUAAGUGGGAGUGGCAGGGAGAGGGAGAGAGAAUCUCAAGUAGACUCCAGGCUGAGCGAGGAGUCUGAAACAGGGCUGGAUCCCACCACCCUAGGAUUGGGACCUGAGCCAAAAUCAGGAGUCUGAUGCUCAACCAACUGUCCCACCUGGGCACCUCUAUCUCUACUGUGCCCAACCAUUUUGUUUAAAUGCCUAUUAGGGCAAAGAGUGUCAAUCCACUUAAAGUACAUAUUUUGGGGCUCUCUGGGUGGCACAGUUGGUUGAGCACCCAACUCUUAUUUUAAGCUCAGGGUCUGAUUUCAGGAUCAUGAGAUUGAGCCCCAAUCAGGUUCUGAGCUCAGCGAAGUGUCUGCUAGAAUUUCUCUCCCACUCCCUCGUCCCCUCCCUGCACUUAAACACUCUCUCUCUCUCUUUAAAACAGGUGAAUAAAUCUUAAAAAAAAAAAAAAGUACAUAUUUUGGGCAAGGGAUAAGAAAAUGUGCUUGGGCUACUGGGCCUAUGUGAUUGUUAGUGUUCUGAUGGAGAAUCUGCCUCAGGAUUCUACAGCCCUUAUGUGGUGGCCUUGGCUGUUUUGGGUAAGCUUCCAAUACUGCAGUCAGGGUUUUUAAACUGCAAUUGGCCCUGCUAAUAUAUAGUGUUAUUUCUUUCCCUCCUUCCCCAAAUUUGCAAGCUUGUUUCUUCUUAAAUGCGCCAUGAGAUGAUGCAUGAAUGCAUUUUAUUUCCUCAAUGGAAAUGUAGAUGCUGCACAGCUGUUAGACUUGAAAUCACCAGGUGGUACUUGGAAACAGGAACUAAGAUGCUGUUGCCAGGGUAACCACACAUUCUUCCAGCUAUGGGAAGAGCUGCCAUGUUUUCUAUGCUCUUAGGAAUAUAGUUAUAAAAGGAUUGGCUUAGUGCAUAUGAAUAUUUACUAUUUAAAGAGAGCACUCAUUUCUUCAUAAACCAGUAGAAUAUUUUUUGAUUAUUCAUAUGCCUCAAAAAGACAUUUUAUCUUUUCAGGGCAUCAGGUGUCAUCUUUCUUUGCCAUUAUAAUUGUAAGGAUCCAGUACUAAUAUUUUAUGGUACCAGUAACAUACCAGUACACCUCGUUUUAUACAUUAGAUUCAUUUUAAGUAAGCAAUUAGAGCUUAGUAUUUAUACCAUUGUGAAUUCUGUAAGAAGAAUGUAUUUAAUUCAUCAGUCAUCUCCCUAGAAUCUGGGAGAUCUAGAGGCUAAUCUGAGAUUCUCAAAAUUGCAGGCAUUUGACAAAUCUAUAAGGUGGGUUGGGACCACUCUGGCAAGGAAGGAGUAGUUCCACACCACUCAGAACAAAGCAGAAAUGAAGCCAAUGACACAAAUAUUCUUCCUUCCUCCCACCCUCCCUUCUUUCCUUUUUUAAAGAUCUAUUUGCUGAGCCCCUAAUUUGCAUUAGGGCUGUGGCCAGGGCUGUGAAAGUUUCUCUAGAGAUUAAACCCAGCAGUGGAGGUGAAGGUAGUAUGGCCAGCUUCAUCCACAGUCCUAGGUUUUGUCAAAUUGUUUUCCAAAGUGGUAGCGUCAGUGAAAUCCUCCCAUGAGCAAUGCAUAAGAUUUCUGUUUGUUCUGUUUGUUCUACAUCCUCAGCAACACUUGAUCUCUGGUGGAUGCAAAAUCCUAUCUUCUGACCUUUUAAACUUUGCAUUGCCCUGAUCACUGUGCUCUCAUGACAACUAGAUAUUUGAGCUUUCUUUUCCGUAUAUUGCUUGUUCAUAUCCUUUACCCAUUUUUCCAUUGGGUUGCCUUUCCUUUAUUGAUUUAUAGGGAUUCUUUAUGCAUUCUCUUCAUGAAUUUUUUUAUUAUAUAUUUAAAGCUCUUUCUUCCUUGCUCACUGGUCUUUCAUUGCUUAAGCAUCUUUUAAUUUCUGAAGUUUCUCAUUUUAACCUUAUCAAGCUUAUUUUUUGUCCGUGUUCUUCUUUAUGUUUUUUACACAUUUAAGAAAUCCUACCUAUUCCAAGUUCACAAAAAUGGUUUUUUAGAUGUUUAAAAAUUGUGCUUUUCACAUUUAUGUCUUUAAGCUAGUUAAAUAUAGUUUAAGAUAGUUAAUUUUUGCUUAUGGUGUGAUAUGGGAAGCUAAUUUUUCUUUUUUUCCCCUACUGUACCAAAAUCCACUACUGAAGCAUCAAAAUUUUCCCCAAUCUGGCCUCUUACAUAUACCAUGUUUUCAGAUACAUGUGGAUCUGUUUCUAAACGUUAUUACUAUUCUGCCUUAAUGACUAUAGCUUCAUAGUAAGUCUUGAUAUCUAUUAAAGUAAAAUUCUGCACCUUGUUCUUCUUCAAAAUUAUCUUAACUAUUAUGGGCUCUUUGCUCUUCCAUGUAAAAUUCAGAAUAUCUUGCCCAACUGCUAUUGUCAUCAUAAAUAUUUUACGCUAUGGAUUAUGUGACUGAUUUUUACACACAAAGAUUAAUCAAGUGCUAUACAAUCUGAUCAGCGGGUGCUUGGCUGCUAAUUAAGUUGCAUAUAUGAAUUCUAAAAAUGCCAUACCCCAAAAUCAUAUCAAAAAAUGAUUGCUGAAUGACUUUGGUUGAUUAUGGACAUUGACAGACUUUGGAUCUUUCCUCAGAAACAGACUCGGCCAUCUCACUCUACUUUGUAUGAUGCUACCAUCAGUAGCCAGUGGCUCACUGUCCUCUCUGGAUCAGUGUUAGUAGGUAGGCAGGAGCUUCCAUGAUUCCUGAAGGAGGAGGAAACCCUAGCACCAGCAUCAGUAUGGGAGGUGAGACUGAAAAAUGUUUCACUUAGGGAUGCCUGGGUGGCUCAGCAGUUGAGUGUCUGCCUUCGGCUCAGGGCAGAUCCUGGAGUCCCAGGACCAAGUCCCGCAUCGGGCUCCCUGCAUGGAGCCUGCUUCUCCUUCUGCCUAUGUCUCUGCCUCUCUCUCUCUUUCAUGAAUAAAUAAAUAAAAUCUUAAAAAAAAAAAAAAAGAAAGAAAAUGUCCCACUUCGUCUAUACUACUCGCCUAGCACCUCCAUGCUGCUUGCCCCUCAGAGUUCUCAACAUUAAUCACAUCUCUAGGAUUGGAUUUAAAUUAAUCUUUGUACAUUCAGAAACUUCAGACUUGUCACUGCUUCAGCAGCAAAUGUAUGAAUCUUGGGGAGCUAAGAUAAUCUUACAUGUAUCUUUACAUUCCUCUCAUAUAUUUACUACCUUUUUUAAAAUUAUAAUAAUGUAUAAUAACUUGGAGCUACUAUAGCUAUCUCUGUCUUCAUCAAAUGCUGGGUAUGAGCUUUGAGCACAUUUUAUGCACCAAGCAUAAUUCUCAAUACUUUGCAUAUGACUUUCCAGAUCAUCCUUACAACACUCUUGCAAGGUAGAUAAUAUAAUCCCAAACUUACAGGUGAGGAGAUUGAAGACCAGAGAAGUUAUUGCCUAAGGAAGGUUCGUUAUACUAUAACUUAUAAGUAGUACAUUAUAGAGUGAAGAUUCAAGCCCAGAAAUGUUCAGAUUUCAAAGUCUUUGAUCCUCCCUAUAACACUUUAGACUAUGUUAAAAUCUUCUAGUUUAAAACAAUAAACAGGGGCAGUCUGGUGGCUCAGCGGUUUAGCGCCGCCUUCAGUCCAGGGCCUGAUCCUGGAGACCGGGGAUCGAGUCCCAUGUCAGCCUCCCUGCAUG